rnacentral:rRNA from 1 species
AUUAAACUUUCCUUCGGGAAAGAUAUAAAGUGGCGCACGGGUGAGUAACACGUAAGUAAUCUACCUUCGAGUGGGGAAUAACGUCCGGAAACGGACGCUAAUACCGCAUAAUGCAGCGGCAUCGAAAGAUGACAGUUGUUAAAGGAGCAAUUCGCUUGAAGAGGAGCUUGCGGCAGAUUAGCUAGUUGGUAAGGUAAUGGCUUACCAAGGCUUCGAUCUGUAUCCGGUCUAAGAGGACGGUCGGACACACUGACACUGAAUAACGGGUCAGACUCCUACGGGAGGCAGCAGUCGGGAAUUUUGGGCAAUGGGCGAAAGCCUGACCCAGCAACGCCGCGUGAAGGAUGAAGUAUUUCGGUAUGUAAACUUCGAAAGAAUGGGAAGAACUCAAUGACGGUACCAUUUAUAAGGUCCGGCUAACUACGUGCCAGCAGCCGCGGUAAUACGUAGGGACCAAGCGUUGUUCGGAUUUACUGGGCGUAAAGGGCGCGUAGGCGGCAAAUUAAGUCAGCUGUGAAAUCUCCGAGCUUAACUCGGAACUGUCAGCUGAUACUGAUGUGCUAGAGUGCGGAAGGGGCAAUCGGAAUUCUUGGUGUAGCGGUGAAAUGCGUAGAUAUCAAGAGGAACACCUGAGGUGAAGACGGGUUGCUGGGCCGACACUGACGCUGAGUGCGCGAAAGCCAGGGGAGCAAACGGGAUUAGAUACCCCGGUAGUCCUGGCCUUAAACGAUGAAUACUUGGUGUCUGGAGUCUCUAUAGCUCCCGGUGCCGUCGCUAACGUUUUUAGUAUU